UACAGCAUGGCAUAGUGGUUUGAGUGUUGGACUGAGACUCUGGAGAUCAGGGUUCGAUUCCUCGUUUGGCCA